rnacentral:rRNA from 1 species
GACGAACGCUGGCGGCGUGCUUAACACAUGCAAGUCGAACGGAAAGGCCCUGCUUUUGUGGGGUGCUCGAGUGGCGAACGGGUGAGUAACACGUGAGUAACCUGCCCUUGACUUUGGGAUAACUUCAGGAAACUGGGGCUAAUACCGGAUAGGAGCUCCUGCUGCAUGGUGGGGGUUGGAAAGUUUCGGCGGUUGGGGAUGGACUCGCGGCCUAUCAGCUUGUUGGUGGGGUAGUGGCUUACCAAGGCUUUGACGGGUAGCCGGCCUGAGAGGGUGACCGGCCACAUUGGGACUGAGAUACGGCCCAGACUCCUACGGGAGGCAGCAGUGGGGAAUAUUGCACAAUGGGCGGAAGCCUGAUGCAGCAACGCCGCGUGCGGGAUGACGGCCCUCGGGUUGUAAACCGCUUUCGCCUGUGACGAAGCGUGAGUGACGGUAAUGGGUAAAGAAGCACCGGCUAACUACGUG